AUAUAAGCGCGCGUCCCCUCCUCGUCCUCCCUCCUCCGCCUCUCACUCUCUCUCCCCUCUUCCCCUCCACCCCCACCUCCGUUUCUCCGGCCGCCUCCCUACCUCCUCCACCCCGGGCGCGAGAGAUUUCCACACACAAAAAAAAAAUCCCCCCAAUCCUCAGCACCCGCCGGCCUCCAGGGGUCCAGGGGAUCCGUCGCCCGCCUGCCCACCCGCCUCCUCAGCGCGGCUCCUGGAUCCGCCAUUCCCGGUUCCGCGGCCGGUUUUCCUGUCCCGGCUGCGCCUCUUCUUGGCUGGGCCUGCGCUGUCUCGCCCCGCUAUUGGCUCGCGCCUUGCUGGCUCGCCGUUACCGGAUCUCGAGAGCCAGGUCCGCCCCCGCGCGCGAUGGGGCUCGAUCAGCUCGGAGCCUAGGGGGCGCGGGCGCCAUUCGCUCGCCAUUUGUGGAGGGAAGCCAUUUUCUUCCGGUCCGUUUCAUCCUUUU
rnacentral:lncRNA from 1 species